rnacentral:rRNA from 1 species
GCAGUCGACGAUGAAGCCCUUCGGGGUGGAUUAGUGGCGAACGGGUGAGUAACACGUGGGCAAUCUGCCCUUCACUCUGGGACAAGCCCUGGAAACGGGGUCUAAUACCGGAUAACACUCUGUCCCGCAUGGGACGGGGUUGAAAGCUCCGGCGGUGAAGGAUGAGCCCGCGGCCUAUCAGCUUGUUGGUGGGGUGAUGGCCUACCAAGGCGACGACGGGUAGCCGGCCUGAGAGGGCGACCGGCCACACUGGGACUGAGACACGGCCCAGACUCCUACGGGAGGCAGCAGUGGGGAAUAUUGCACAAUGGGCGAAAGCCUGAUGCAGCGACGCCGCGUGAGGGAUGACGGCCUUCGGGUUGUAAACCUCUUUCAGCAGGGAAGAAGCGAAAGUGACGGUACCUGCAGAAGAAGCGCCGGCUAACUACGUGCCAGCAGCCGCGGUAAUACGUAGGGCGCAAGCGUUGUCCGGAAUUAUUGGGCGUAAAGAGCUCGUAGGCGGCUUGUUGCGUCGGUUGUGAAAGCCCGGGGCUUAACCCCGGGUCUGCAGUCGAUACGGGCAGGCUAGAGUGUGGUAGGGGAGAUCGGAAUUCCUGGUGUAGCGGUGAAAUGCGCAGAUAUCAGGAGGAACACCGGUGGCGAAGGCGGAUCUCUGGGCCAUUACUGACGCUGAGGAGCGAAAGCGU